UUGCUUUGGCAGCAAAGAUGCUAAAAUUUCAGUAAUACAGAGGAGAUUAGUAUGGCCCUUGCACAUGCAAAUUCAUGAAUGUUCCAUAUUUUU
rnacentral:snRNA from 1 species